GGGGGGGGGGGGAUACUUGAGGCUUAUGAACAAUUACAGCAGGGUAAGUUCAUUUAGGAGGGCUGGGUUGGGCUACAUGAUUCUAAUGGUACGCAAUCACUUGUCAUGUUAACUCCAUUUUGGAAGAUGUAGAGUAACAUUUUGAAAGACAGCACACAGGGCUCGAUUCCUCAGGGCCAGGCCUUCCCUGCCCACUGUUUAGACUCAGGGGUAUCUCAGCAUCAUCUGCCAAGCACUGCCUGAAGCAGAACUUCCUAGCUGGACAAAAACUCGCAAGUCAUUUGCUAGAGCUUGUCUGGCUUUUGUUCCUCUCCGCUUCUCCCUGGGAGCAAUUUUCACUGCUCUCUCCUCUUCAGCCAGCCAUCUCUAGCUCAACUCUUUCUCUUUUCCAUAUUUUAUGGCCACUUUCCCAGCAAGUGACCUCUCUAGCCUCUGAUGAUGCUAAACUCUCUAGGCCAGUGCCCUCUUUUAGGUAAUGUGUUUGUCUUUUUGAAUCGUCACUCGAUGCCAUGAAAUGUUCUCUCUCUAAUUCUCAACCCUUUUUCUGAUAGCAGCUUUAACUCUUUCAUUCUUCUGUCUCAACCAUGGAUCCAUCAAUCAACAUGAAUUUGUCUAGAGCCAAAAAGCUAAUGUGCAUAAUUUAUAUUAGAGGGGAUUCUGAAUAGCCCCCGAUAUAGAAAAGACUUGCUCCCCCUUCCAAGGAAUCAUUGUCCCUAUCACUCUAAGCCUUUAUUUCCUAUUAUUCCCUUGAACACCAAGUGUGAAGAGGCCAACAUGACUUUAUGCACGUUCUUCCUUCUGAACUCUGGUUUAAGAGGAAGCCAAGUGCUUUCAGGUAGGCAGAGUGUAGUAGCAACAAAAGAUGGUGACGAAUUGUCUAGUGCCAAUCAAUGUCAAGAUCCCGCAGGGUCUUCCAGCUGACGAAUCGAGCCCCCAGUGCACAACUGAACACCGCCUUAUGUUAUCUUGUGUUCCGGAAUACUUCACAGUUUCUUUUCUUUUGUUUUGUCUUUUUAUUUCAACAAAAUGAAAAUAGAGCUCGGAAGUAAGUUGUGUGAGCUGUUCCUUUCAACAUUUGCAGAAUUCUCUACUGGCUGCAUGCACCCAGCAGAUUCCUUUAUUUGUGAAUUUUGGUAGUCUGAUUGCUGCUAUGGAAAUGUGAUCCAAAAUCAUGAUCUUUUCCUGUGAUAAGUGAAGUUCACAAGGAAGAAAUCAACAUCUGUUUCUUAAUCUUUUUGUG
rnacentral:lncRNA from 1 species